GACAGAAAAAAAACAUGAGAGAAAAAAAACCCGAGAGAAGCAAAAGUAACUUUCGAAGGUUUAGUUACGGAAGCCCUACCCAAUGGAAUGUUCCGCGUUCGGCUAGAGAAUGACACCAUCAUCGUAGGCUAUAUUUCAGGAAAGAUACGGUCUAGUUCUAUACGAAUACUGAUGGGGGAUAGGGUUAAAAUUGAAGUAAGUCGUUAUGAUUCAAGCAAGGGACGUAUAAUUUAUAGACUUCCCCAUAAGGAUUCGAAGUAA
rnacentral:rRNA from 1 species